rnacentral:sRNA from 1 species
UUUCGGUACAAAUAGGAUAUCAUGGUCAUAUAUAGUUGUUCUAGUUCUUCGUGACGACCCAGCCAGCUGUAGUAAAGUAGCUGUACCGCACUUGUGUUAUAAUUUGCGCAAUCCAACCAGCGGUCCUUGGCAUGGAAUAGGAAAGCCUUGAUGAGGACGUGAGCAAUAGUUUAACAACACAUACAUAAUAGUGGUUCACAGAUAAUCUAAUAUCUAAGUAACAAGGCAAAGCAGAUUGAACUUCUCCGGCGCUUCAACAGCUGAAAAAUAUUUAGACGAGGCUUUGAAACUAUCAAACAAGUCGUAUCAGAGAACCUGGAAACAGCAGAGCUAACCCCUUGUUAGGGGAUUGCUAUUCAGAUGGCACUUCCUAUAUAUUACUCAGGAUAUGAUCUUCAUAGGUGGAUGGCGGAAAAUGUUGAGAUGACAUGAUGCAGGCAUUGAA